UACGUAGGGUGCAAGCGUUGUCCGGAAUUAUUGGGCGUAAAGAGCUCGUAGGCGGUUUGUCGCGUCUGCUGUGAAAACCCGAGGCUCAACCUCGGGCCUGCAGUGGGUACGGGCAGACUAGAGUGCGGUAGGGGAGAUUGGAAUUCCUGGUGUAGCGGUGGAAUGCGCAGAUAUCAGGAGGAACACCAAUGGCGAAGGCAGAUCUCUGGGCCGUAACUGACGCUGAGGCGCGAAAGCUAGGGGAGCAACGGG
rnacentral:rRNA from 1 species